UCCCUGGUAGUCUAGUGGUUAGGACUUGGUGCUUUUGCUGCCUGGGCCCGGGUUCGAUCCCUAGUCAGUGAA
rnacentral:tRNA from 1 species